rnacentral:rRNA from 1 species
UACGUAGGGGGCUAGCGUUGUCCGGAAUUACUGGGCGUAAAGCGCGUGUAGGCGGUUAUCCAAGUCGGGUGUGAAAGCCUUGAGCUCAACUCAAGAAAUGCAUUCGGUACUGGGUGACUAGAGGACCGGAGAGGAUAGUGGAAUUCCCAGUGUAGUGGUGAAAUACGUAGAGAUUGGGAAGAACACCAGUGGCGAAGGCGGCUAUCUGGACGGUUUCUGACGCUAAGACGCGAAAGCGUGGGGAGCAAACAGG